rnacentral:rRNA from 1 species
GAUGAACGCUGACAGAAUGCUUAACACAUGCCAGUCUACUUGAAUUUGGGUUUUUUAACUUAGAUUUGGGUGGCGGACGGGUGAGUAACGCGUAAAGAACUUGCCUCACAGCUAGGGACAACAUUUGGAAACGAAUGCUAAUACCUGAUAUUAUGAUUAUAAGGCAUCUUAGAAUUAUGAAAGCUAUAUGCGCUGUGAGAGAGCUUUGCGUCCCAUUAGCUAGUUGGAGAGGUAACGGCUCACCAAGGCGAUGAUGGGUAGCCGGCCUGAGAGGGUGAACGGCCACAAGGGGACUGAGACACGGCCCUUACUCCUACGGGAGGCAGCAGUGGGGAAUAUUGGACAAUGGACCAAGAGUCUGAUCCAGCAAUUCUGUGUGCACGAUGACGUUUUUCGGAAUGUAAAGUGCUUUCAGUUGGGAAGAAAAAAAUGACGGUACCAACAGAAGAAGUGACGGCUAAAUACGU